rnacentral:rRNA from 1 species
UACGGAGGGUGCGAGCGUUGUCCGGAAUCACUGGGCGUAAAGGGCGCGUAGGCGGCCUGAUAAGUAGGGGGUGAAAUCCUGCGGCUUAACCGCAGGGCUGCCUUCUAAACUGUCAGGCUCGAGCACAGUAGAGGCAGGUGGAAUUCCCGGUGUAGCGGUGAAAUGCGCAGAUAUCGGGAGGAACACCAAUGGCGAAGGCAGCUCGCUGGGACGGUACUGACGCUGAGACGCGAAAGCGUGGGGAGCAAACAGG